rnacentral:snoRNA from 1 species
UUACAACUGUGUUCUUUCUCCUGAAGAGACCUAGUGUGCAUUGGUUGCAAAUAGCAGCCUUUUUGAUAAUGUAUGCCACCUGCCACUUAUGCACACUUGGUCUCAGGGACUUUGGAGGCAGUC